rnacentral:rRNA from 1 species
CAAAGAUUAAGCCAUGCAUGUCUAAGUACAAACUAUAUUAAAGUGAAACCGCGAAAGGCUCAUUAAAUCAGUUAUGGUUCCUUAGAUCGUACCACAUUUACUUGGAUAACUGUGGUAAUUCUAGAGCUAAUACAUGCAAACAGAGCUCUGACCGGAGACGGAAGGAGUGCUUUUAUUAGAUCAAAACCAAUCGGCAGCAAUAACAUUUCGGUGUUUGUUGUUUGUCGCUCAAUAUAUGGUGAAUCUGAAUAACUUUAUGCUGAUCGCAUGGUCUUGUACCGGCGACGCAUCUUUCAAAUGUCUGCCUUAUCAACUGUCGAUGGUAGGAUCUGCGCCUACCAUGGUUGUAACGGGUAACGGGGAAUCAGGGUUCGAUUCCGGAGAGGGAGCCUGAGAAACGGCUACCACAUCCAAGGAAGGCAGCAGGCGCGCAAAUUACCCACUCCCGGCACGGGGAGGUAGUGACGAAAAAUAACGAUACGGGACUCAUCCGAGGCCCCGUAAUCGGAAUGAGUACACUUUAAAUCCUUUAACGAGGACCAAUUGGAGGGCAAGUCUGGUGCCAGCAGCCGCGGUAAUUCCAGCUCCAAUAGCGUAUAUUAAAGUUGUUGCGGUUAAAAAGCUCGUAGUUGAAUUUGUGUUCCGCACUGUCGGUUCACCGCCCGCGGUGCUAACUGGCAUGUUUGCGGAACGUCCUGCCGGUGGAUGUUCAGUUGAUAAUUUCAUUUCACUUUAUUUGAGCAUGUAUUGAAAAUGCUAUUUCAUAGUGUUUUCUUAUGUGUUUCGGUUUAGUUGAGUGAGUUGUUAACACAUCCGACUUAUAAAUCCUGUCGCGGUGCUCUUAAUUGAGUGUCGAGGCGGGCCGGCACGUUUACUUUGAACAAAUUAGAGUGCUCAAAGCAGGCUAAUUAAUGCCUGAAUAAUUAGUGCAUGGAAUAAUGGAACAGGACCUUGGUUCUAUUUUGUUGGUAUUCGGAACCCCAAGGUAAUGAUUAAUAGGGACAGAUGGGGGCAUUCGUAUUGCGACGUUAGAGGUGAAAUUCUUGGAUCGUCGCA